CAUGCAGUCGAGCGGUAGCACAGAGAGCUUGCUCUCGGGUGACGAGCGGCGGACGGGUGAGUAAUGUCUGGGAAACUGCCUGAUGGAGGGGGAUAACUACUGGAAACGGUAGCUAAUACCGCAUAACGUCGCAAGACCAAAGUGGGGGACCUUCGGGCCUCAUGCCAUCAGAUGUGCCCAGAUGGGAUUAGCUAGUAGGUGGGGUAACGGCUCACCUAGGCGACGAUCCCUAGCUGGUCUGAGAGGAUGACCAGCCACACUGGAACUGAGACACGGUCCAGACUCCUACGGGAGGCAGCAGUGGGGAAUAUUGCACAAUGGGCGCAAGCCUGAUGCAGCCAUGCCGCGUGUGUGAAGAAGGCCUUCGGGUUGUAAAGCACUUUCAGCGGGGAGGAAGGCGAUAAGGUUAAUAACCUUGUCGAUUGACGUUACCCGCAGAAGAAGCACCGGCUAACUCCGUGCCAGCAGCCGCGGUAAUACGGAGGGUGCAAGCGUUAAUCGGAAUUACUGGGCGUAAAGCGCACGCAGGCGGUCUGUCAAGUCGGAUGUGAAAUCCCCGGGCUCAACCUGGGAACUGCAUUCGAAACUGGCAGGCUAGAGUCUUGUAGAGGGGGGUAGAAUUCCAGGUGUAGCGGUGAAAUGCGUAGAGAUCUGGAGGAAUACCGGUGGCGAAGGCGGCCCCCUGGACAAAGACUGACGCUCAGGUGCGAAAGCGUGGGGAGCAAACAGGAUUAGAUACCCUGGUAGUCCACGCCGUAAACGAUGUCGAUUUGGAGGUUGUGCCCUUGAGGCGUGGCUUCCGGAGCUAACGCGUUAAAUCGACCGCCUGGGGAGUACGGCCGCAAGGUUAAAACUCAAAUGAAUUGACGGGGGCCCGCACAAGCGGUGGAGCAUGUGGUUUAAUUCGAUGCAACGCGAAGAACCUUACCUGGUCUUGACAUCCACAGAACUUAGCAGAGAUGCUUUGGUGCCUUCGGGAACUGUGAGACAGGUGCUGCAUGGCUGUCGUCAGCUCGUGUUGUGAAAUGUUGGGUUAAGUCCCGCAACGAGCGCAACCCUUAUCCUUUUGUUGCCAGCGGUUCAGGCCGGGAACUCAAAAGGAGACUUGCCAGUGAUAAACUUGGAGGAAGGUGGGGGAUGACGUCCAAGUCAUCAUGGCCCUUUA
rnacentral:rRNA from 1 species